AACCCAUAUUAGGGGCAUUUCCGUAGGAGUUCCUUGAACCUCCCCUAUGUUUCAAAUAGAGACUCCAAUUCCGUUUGCAUGAAAGAGGAUAUUUCAUUCCUACGCUU